rnacentral:rRNA from 6 species
UUGUUGCCAGCGGUCCGGCCGGGAACUCAAAGGAGACUGCCAGUGAUAAACUGGAGGAAGGUGGGGAUGACGUCAAGUCAUCAUGGCCCUUACGACCAGGGCUACACACGUGCUACAAUGGCGCAUACAAAGAGAAGCGACCUCGCGAGAGCAAGCGGACCUCAUAAAGUGCGUCGUAGUCCGGAUUGGAGUCUGCAACUCGACUCCAUGAAGUCGGAAUCGCUAGUAAUCGUGGAUCAGAAUGCCACGGUGAAUACGUUCCCGGGCCUUGUACACACCGCCCGUCACACCAUGGGAGUGGGUUGCAAAAGAAGUAGGUAGCUUAACCUUCGGGAGGGCGCUUACCACUUUGUGAUUCAUGACUGGGGUGAAGUCGUAACAAGGUAACCGUAGGGGAACCUGC